GAUGAACGCUGGCGGCGUGCCUAACACAUGCAAGUCGAGCGAUUCUCUUCGGAGAAGAGCGGCGGACGGGUGAGUAACGCGUGGGUAACCUGCCCUGUACACACGGAUAACAUACAGAAAGGUAUGCUAAUACGAGAUAACAUACUUUUAUCGCAUGGUAGAAGUAUCAAAGCUUUUGUGAUACAGGAUGGACCCGCGUCUGAUUAGCUAGUUGGUAAGGUAACGGCUUACCAAGGCGACGAUCAGUAGCCGACCUGAGAGGGUGAUCGGCCACAUUGGAACUGAGACACGGUCCAAACUCCUACGGGAGGCAGCAGUGGGGAAUAUUGCACAAUGGGCGAAAGCCUGAUGCAGCAACGCCGCGUGAGCGAUGAAGGCCUUCGGGUCGUAAAGCUCUGUCCUCAAGGAAGAUAAUGACGGUACUUGAGGAGGAAGCCCCGGCUAACUACGUGCCAGCAGCCGCCGUAACAC
rnacentral:rRNA from 1 species